rnacentral:rRNA from 1 species
GACGAACGCUGGCGGCGCGCCUAACACAUGCAAGUCGAACGAGCGAGAGAGAGCUUGCUUUCUCGAGCGAGUGGCGAACGGGUGAGUAACGCGUGAGGAACCUGCCUCAAAGAGGGGGACAACAGUUGGAAACGACUGCUAAUACCGCAUAAGCCCACGGGUCGGCAUCGACCAGAGGGAAAAGGAGCAAUCCGCUUUGAGAUGGCCUCGCGUCCGAUUAGCUAGUUGGUGAGGUAACGGCCCACCAAGGCAACGAUCGGUAGCCGGACUGAGAGGUUGAACGGCCACAUUGGGACUGAGACACGGCCCAGACUCCUACGGGAGGCAGCAGUGGGGAAUAUUGCACAAUGGGGGAAACCCUGAUGCAGCGACGCCGCGUGGAGGAAGAAGGUCUUCGGAUUGUAAACUCCUGUUGUUGGGGAAGAUAA